rnacentral:rRNA from 1 species
GGCCCCGCACAAGCGGUGGAGCAUGUGGUUUAAUUCGACGCAACGCGAAGAACCUUACCUGGUCUUGACAUCCUGCGAACUUUCUAGAGAUAGAUUGGUGCCUUCGGGAACGCAGUGACAGGUGCUGCAUGGCUGUCGUCAGCUCGUGUCGUGAGAUGUUGGGUUAAGUCCCGUAACGAGCGCAACCCUUGUCCUUAUUUGCCAUCAUUUAGUUGGGCACUCUAGGGAGACUGCCGGUGACAAACCGGAGGAAGUGGGGGACGACGUCAAGUCAUCAUGGCCCUUACGACCAGGGCUACACAGCGUGCUACAAUGGGCGUACAAGGGUUGCAAUCCCGCGAGGGGAGCU